AGCUCAUGUAUAGGCACCCUAAGAUUGGUUCCCUGCUGUCCACCCUCUGCUGCAAGCAUGAUGUCAGGAGGUUUCUGAAUGUGCAGACUGCAGCUGCAGAAACCGCACUGCAUGGCACCUGGUCAACAUGAGACACAAGCUGCCUCCAGAAGGCCGGAUCAAGGAAGAAAGUGGUUUCCCUUCCUCCAGUGGUGCCCCCCGCUUCCUGCCUCAUUUCUAGCAAGACACGUUUUCCCAGUGUUGAUUCAGUAGCUCCUGGACGUGGCUCAAUGGCA